rnacentral:rRNA from 1 species
ACUCCUACGGGAGGCAGCAGUGGGGAAUAUUGGACAAUGGGGGCAACCCUGAUCCAGCCAUGCCGCGUGAGUGAUGAAGGCCCUAGGGUUGUAAAGCUCUUUUGUGCGGGAAGAUAAUGACGGUACCGCAAGAAUAAGCCCCGGCUAACUUCGUGCCAGCAGCCGCGGUAAUACGAAGGGGGCUAGCGUUGCUCGGAAUCACUGGGCGUAAAGGGUGCGUAGGCGGGUCUUUAAGUCAGGGGUGAAAUCCUGGAGCUCAACUCCAGAACUGCCUUUGAUACUGAGGAUCUUGAGUCCGGAAGAGGUGAGUGGAACUGCGAGUGUAGAGGUGAAAUUCGUAGAUAUUCGCAAGAACACCAGUGGCGAAGGCGGCUCACUGGUCCGGUACUGACGCUGAGGCACGAAAGCGUGGGGAGCAAACAGGAUUAGAAACCCCGGUAGUCCCAU